rnacentral:sRNA from 1 species
CCCAGCACUGAAGUGCUGGGCUAUUUUCAAUUGCCCCUCCGGGGCA